rnacentral:rRNA from 1 species
GACGAACGCUGGCGGCGUGCCUAAUACAUGCAAGUCGAGCGAGGCAGACUGGUGCUUGCACCAACUUGAAGAGCAGCGAACGGGUGAGUAACGCGUGGUGAAUCUGCCUUUGAGCGGGGGACACCAUUUGGAAACGAAUGCUACUACCGCAUAACAACUUUAAACAUAAGUUUUCAGCUUGAAAGAUGCAAUUGCAUCACUCAAAGAUGAUCCCGCGUUGUAUUAGCUAGUUGGUGAGGUAAAGGCUAACCAAGGCGUUGAAACAUAGCCGACCUGAAAGGGGGAGCGGCCACACUGGGACGAAGACACGACCCAACCUCCUGCGGGAGGCAGCAGUAGGGGAUCUUCGGCAAUGGACGAAAGUCUGACCGAGCAACGCCGCGUGAGUGAAGAAGGUUGUCGUAUCGUAAAACUCUGUUAGUAGAGAAGGACGUUGGUGAGAGUGGAAAGCUCAGCAAGUGACGGUAACUACACAGAAAGGGACGGCUAACUACGUG